rnacentral:rRNA from 1 species
GAUUUCUGGCUUGAAACAUUUUGCCGGCCACGGUUUCGUGUGUUAGUGCUUGGUGUUCUGGCCAUCCUUCCAAUCGCUAUUUGUCUUUCUUCAUUGAUGGGCAAGUGGUAUUGGAUCUUUUACUUUGAAAAAAUUAGAGUGUUUCAAGCAGGCUUUAUGCUAUGAAUACAUUAGCAUGGAAUAAUAAUUUAGGACUUCGGUUCUAUUUUGUUGGUUUCUAGGACUGAAGUAAUGAUUGAUAGGGAUAGUUGGGGGUGCUAGUAUUCAAUGGCCAGAGGUGAAAUUCUCGGAUUCCUUGAAGACUAACUUAUGCGAAAGCAUU